rnacentral:rRNA from 1 species
CCUACGGGGGGCAGCAGUGGGGAAUAUUGGACAAUGGGGGCAACCCUGAUCCAGCCAUGCCGCGUGUGUGAAGAAGGCCCUCGGGUUGUAAAGCACUUUCAGUGAGGAAGAACGCCUGGUGGUUAAUACCCAUCAGGAAAGACAUCACUCACAGAAGAAGCACCGGCUAACUCCGUGCCAGCAGCCGCGGUAAUACGGAGGGUGCGAGCGUUAAUCGGAAUUACUGGGCGUAAAGCGCGCGUAGGUGGCUUGAUAAGCCGGUUGUGGAAGCCCCGGGCUCAACCUGGGAACGGCAUCCGGAACUGUCAAGCUAGAGUGCAGGAGAGGAAGGUAGAAUUCCCGGUGUAGCGGUGAAAUGCGUAGAGAUCGGGAGGAAUACCAGUGGCGAAGGCGGCCUUCUGGACUGACACUGACACUGAGGUGCGAAAGCGUGGGUAGCAAACAGGAUUAGAUACCCCAGUAGUC